UGGCAAGCCCAUGUGUGCUGAGAGCUUCUCUGACUAUCCUCCACUUGGUCGUUUUGCUGUUUGUGACAUGAGGCAGGCAGUUGCUGUGAGUGUCAUUAAAGCUGUGGACAAGAAGGCUGCAGGAACUGGCAAAGUCACCAAGUCUGCCCAGAAAGCUCAGAAAGCUAAAUGAAUAUUAUCCCUAACACCUGCCACCCCAGUCUUAAUCAGUGGGGGAAGAAUGGUCUCAGAACUGUUUGACUCAAUUGGCCAUUUAAGUUUAAUAGUAAAAGACUGGUUAAUGAUAACAAUGCAUUGUAAAACCUUCAGAAGGAAAGAAGGUUUUGUGGACCAUUAUUUGUGUGUGUG
rnacentral:lncRNA from 1 species